rnacentral:pre_miRNA from 1 species
UAAAUACUCCCUUCGUCCGGAAAUACUUGUCAUCAAAAUGGAUAAAAGGGGAUGUAUUUAGAUGUAUUUUAAUUUUAAAUACAUCCAUUUUUAUCAAUUUUGAUGACAAGUUUUUUCGGACGGAGGGAGUAUAAG